UACUCUUAAUGUAUAUAUAUGUUUUUAAAAUAUAACACUUUUGGACCUUGGACUUAAAGUGGUAAUGCAUGGAAACUUGAUCUCGUCAUUAUAUGGCUGGAAUAAUGCCGAUGUGACGUAAAGCACAACUCAACUCAACUUAUAUUAU